UUUUAUGUAUUCUCUGGUUUUGUAAAACUUGGUAAAACUUGGUUUUGUAAUGGUACAACUAUGUAUGUCUCUGAUUUCGUGUUUUUAUGUAUUCUCUGGUUUUGUAAAACUUGGUAAAACUUGGUUUUGUAAUGGUACAACUAUGUAUGUCUCUGAUUUCGUGUUUUUAUGUAUUCUCUGGUUUUGUAAAACUUGGUAAAACUUGGUUUCGUAAUGGUACAACUAUGUAUGUCUUUGAUUUUGUAAAACUUGGGUAAACUUGGCUUGGUAUAACUACGAAGAAAUUAACAAAUCUUCAUAAAUUCAAAAAUUAUAUCACAAUGCUUGUUGUAAUGAAAUAGACAACUUAGUGUUACAUAAUCAAAUUAGUGGUUUGUAAUCAAAAUUUGGUAAAUAAAAUUUUCAAAAAUCUUACACAUUUGAACUUUCUACAUGAAAGUUCUUAUACUUUUAAGAUGUCUUUCUUUUGAAUAUCCAUGGUGAAUGUCGAAAGUCUGAAAAAUAAACAUUUUACACAUAUUAUUGAAUGAAUAUGUUUGGAAUUUACCACAUAUACAUAAAAUCAUGUGUACAACUAAUAAAAAUUAAUAUUAAUCCAAGAAUAACUAAUUAUACAGAAAAACCCCAAAAGUCCAACUGUGUGUAAGCGAGUACAACUUGUAAACUUUGAAAAACUGUGUAUAUUUGACGGCGCCAUGUGUACAAAUGACGGCGCCACGUGUACAAAUGACGGCGCCAUGUGGUUCACGUGUUAUUUGCCCCAAAUAUCCAAAAUUUUCUCUUUUCCCUCCAAAAUACCCAAAAUUUUCGAAUGAACCCAAUUUCUUUUAUUUUUCCCCUAAAAUCAUUUCAACCCUUUUAUUUAUUACCCCAGCUCCCACGAAAUCCUUAAAAUCCUCCCAAUUACAUCUCAAUAUCUCCAAUUUAUUAUCCAAACCCACCAAAUCCCUAAAUCUUCUUUAACCCCAAACCCACUAAAUCCCUAAAUCUUCUAUAGAAGAAAGAUGAGCCAUGUCUCUUCCGCUCCGAGCUCGAGUGAAACCUCCUCAAACCGAACCAGAGUAAGAGUUGCUGGGAUUCCAAAGAGGUGUAGGUGUGGCGACGAGAUCGUUGAAAAGAUCUCUAAAUCAGUCCCAAAUCCUUACCGCCGCUACUACCGAUGCAAAUAUGCCUUAUGAACGACACCCAUGUCUUCAAGUGGGUGGACGAGACAUUGGUAAAUGAGGUAGAACAGUUGGAUUUUCAAGUUAGUGUUCUUGAAGAAGAAGUUGCACUGCUAAAGAUGGGGAGAAAGAAAGAGACGAAGGAAAUUACUAAGAUGAUGGUACCCUUUAUCGUUGGUUGUUUUCUCACAAUUGUUCUUGUAACUUGGUACAACUAAGGUACUACUUUGUAGUUCUACUUGUCUCAAAAAUAUGUAUUUGGUGACUUCUAGUAUUUGUAUGACUAAACAUAUUUAUCCUAGUAAUUCCUAUCUAUUC